rnacentral:SRP_RNA from 1 species
CCGCGCUAGCCGGGGCGGUAGCGGUGCCCUGUACCUGCAAUCCGCUAUAGCAGGGGGGAAUCCUGAUCUUCGGGUCCGAUUUUUAUCGAUCGCCCGGAAUUGAGGGGGCGAUGACGAUCCGGUCCUUCGCAACAACAGACUGUGAACCAUGUCAGGCGGGGAACCGAGCAGCAUUAAGCAGAACCUGGUGUGUGCCGCAGGAACGCCGGAUCUGAGCGGAAUCAUUCCGGUAACAGGUAGGAAUCGUUCUCAACGAUAAGUGCGCGG